UGCUGGUUAGGUGAAUGAUAAGAAAUUCAGAUUUUGAAUUUGAAUUUAAUGAGCCAGGUUUACUACCCCAUUCUUGAGGUUUAGGGAUAGGAUAGUGACUGAUUUAGCCCAUAGGUCUGGCUUCAGGAGGUAGAUAUGAAGUAACAAGGCAAACCAAUGGCUAAUCCAAGUACCAGCUUUGAUUCUUAUCAUCAUGGAGC
rnacentral:lncRNA from 1 species